rnacentral:rRNA from 1 species
GCUUGACUGUAUCCCUGGAAUUGGGUUUCGGGCUUUUUCUUGCGCAGCCCUAGGUGGGAGGCAUUGAAGAUUUCUUUUCCGGGGAAGUUGGAGCCAUCAUUGAGAGACCCACUCUGGAGAAGGCUAGAAUCCUAAUGGUGAUCCUUGAAUCAGGACACUUGACAGUUUCAGGUGGGCAGUUUUUUUCUGGGGCGGAAACCUCAUAAAAGGUAACUGAGGCGCGCAAAGGUUCCCCUCAGUCUGGACGGAAAUCAGACCAACGAGUGUAAAAGGCAAAAGGGAGCUUGACUGCAAGACCCACAAGUCGAGCAGGAGCGAAAAGCUGGCCUUAGUGAUCCGACGGUGCCGUGUGGAAGGGCCGUCGCUCAACGAAUAAAAGUUA